GCGGUGUUAGCUCAGUUGGUAGAGCACUGGAUUGUGGUUCCAGGAGUCACGGGUUCGAAUCCCGUACAUCGCCCCA
rnacentral:tRNA from 1 species